GGUGACCUCGGAUCAGGUAGUAUCACAGUC
rnacentral:rRNA from 1 species